rnacentral:tmRNA from 2 species
GGGGUCGUUUUUGGAUUCGACGGGUAUUGGUCGUGCUAUGAUUGCGUUUAGGGGUUGUGACCCUAUAAUCCACUCAGUCAGAAUAACUGCAAACAAUUCAAAAAACACUUACGCUUUAGCUGCCUAAAAAACAGUUAACGUAGUCUAAUACAAUGUUGCUCAUGCAUUUUGUUAGACAACCAUUAAUGAGCUUGAUUAAGGAGCUUUUAUUCAGAGUUUCUUAAUGACAUUAACUGAAUUAGCUAGUCUGAUUUGCGAAGCCAAUUCCGCGUACAGACUAGUGAAAUUUAAAUAGAAUUGCUAUGAACGUAGAUAUUGUAGUAACGAAAUAUUCGGACGCGGGUUCGAACCCCGCCGGCUCCAUAA